rnacentral:rRNA from 1 species
UUGACCUCAAAUCAGGUAGGACUACCCGCUGAACUUAAGCAUAUCAAUAAGCGGAGGAAAAGAAACUAACAAGGAUUCCCCUAGUAACUGCGAGUGAAGCGGGAAAAGCUCAAAUUUGAAAUCUGGCAGUCUUUUUUUUCUUCUUUGGCUGUCCGAGUUGUAAUCUAGAGAAGUGCUUACCUGCACUGGACCG